rnacentral:rRNA from 1 species
ACUCAAAUGAAUUGACGGGGACCCGCACAAGCGGUGGAGCGUGUUGUUUAAUUCGAUGAUAAGCGAAGAACCUUACCAAGGCUUGACAUCCUGUGAAGGUUUUCGAAAGAAAACUGUGCCUUCGGGAAUACAGUGACAGGUGUUGCAUGGCCGUCGUCAGCUCGUGUCGUGAGAUGUUUGGUUAAGUCCAUCAACGAGCGCAACCCUUUUAACUAGUUGAACUUCUCUAGUUAGACUGCCCUGGUAACAGGGAGGAAGGAGGGGAUGAUGUCAGGUCAGUAUUACCCUUACGUCUUGGGCUACAAACACGCUACAAUGGCCGGUACAAAGGGCAGCCAAGUCGCGAGACGGAGCAAAUCCCAUCAAAGCCGGUCCCAGUUCGGAUUGCAGGCUGAAACUCGCCUGCAUGAAGCCGGAAUCGCUAGUAACGGUGAGUCAGCACAUUACCGUGAAUACGUUCCCGGGUCUUGUACACACCGCCCGU